CUUUACUCUCAAGAAUUCCCAACAACUCCAUAACCAAGCAAAAGCCACCAUACCCAAAUUCUUUAAUCACCACCAUCAAAGUCUACUUUCUCUACUAAAAUCAACAUCCACCAUCAAAAAAUCACAAACCUAUAAAUUUUUUCCCCUUCUCUUUCUCUUUUCUCUUCUUUUUCUUUUCUUUUCCCCUUUCGGUUUUCCCUCACCUUCAUCACACAAUUCGUGAUGCACCACCAUUGCAUGAUCAUCGCUUCCCUGUUCGAGGCCCAACGUUAGUCAUCUAGUCUCACCGUCGACCAGCCUUGCCAUUGAUUUGAAGACCUGAAGGCGCACCACACAUAUUUCUCCUCUCAGAAGAAAGAUGGAGGAUUUGCCAAGUGAUUAUGCGAUCCCCCUUUGCAACUGUGGGUUUGUUGUUGUGCUUAAGGCUUCAUUGAUAGAAAGAAAUCCAAGUAGAAGUUUUUUUUGGGAGAGUAAGGGCUUACAAUUUCUUUUAAUGGUUAAACCCCUCUAUGCCUAAGCAUGCCAAGAAUGUCAUAGUGGGUUUGCUGCGGAGAUUGAAAGAAAAUGAAGUAGAAAUGAAGAGGUCUAGAGCUUCUUAGAUGAAAUUGCUAUUUGUGAGAAUUUAUGUUAUUGUAAUAUGCAAGAUAGCUUUGUAGCUGUUAGGACUUCAAAGUUUUUAUGAUUUCUAUUAGGACGUGAAAAGUUAG